rnacentral:rRNA from 1 species
UACGAGGGAUCCUAGCGUUGUUCGGAAUCAUUGGGCGUAAAGGGUGUGUAGGCGGACUUGUAAGUCAGUUGUGAAAGCCCCGGGCUCAACCCGGGAAGUGCUUCUGAUACUGCUUGUCUUGAGUAUUGGAUAGGUGAGUGGAAUUCCAGGUGUAGUGGUGAAAUACGUAGAUAUCUGGAGGAACACCGGUGGCGAAGGCGGCUCACUGGCCAUAUACUGACGCUGAAACACGAAAGCGUGGGUAGCAAACAGGG